rnacentral:rRNA from 1 species
UGUGUAGGCGGUUGCUUAAGUUUGGUGUGAAAUCUCCCGGCUCAACUGGGAGGGUGCGCCGAAUACUGAGUGACUCGAGUGCGGGAGAGGAAAGUGGAAUUCCUGGUGUAGCGGUGAAAUGCGUAGAUAUCAGGAGGAACACCGGUGGUGUAGACGGCUUUCUGGACCGUAACUGACGCUGAAACACGAAAGCGUGGGUAGCAAACAGGAUUAGAUACCCUGGUAGUCCACGCCCUAAACGAUGCACAUUUGGUGUGGGUCAUUCAGUUGAUCUGUGCCGGAGCUAACGCGUUAAAUGUGCCGCCUGGGGAGUACAGUCGCAAGGCUGAA